rnacentral:rRNA from 1 species
UACGGAGGGUGCAAGCGUUGCUCGGAAUUAUUGGGCGUAAAGGGCAGGUAGGUGGUCUCAUUUGUCUGGGGUGAAAGCCUUGAGCUUAACUCAAGAAGUGCCCCAGAAACGGUGAGACUAGAGUUCUGGAGAGGGUCGUGGAAUUCCCGGUGUAGCGGUGAAAUGCGUAGAGAUCGGGAGGAACACCAGAGGCGAAAGCGGCGGCCUGGACAGAUACUGACACUCAACUGCGAAAGCGUGGGGAGCAAACAGG